AUGACAGAUAACAUAAAGAAGCUUUGGAGGGAGUCCAGCGUAGACAGGGCCAAACCGUUCUCGCCGGUGCAUAUUGAUGGUUUCUCUUGCGAGUUUGUGCGGGUGCCGCAGCAGAAAAACACGCAUGAUUGUGGAUUCUUUAUGCUACAAAGCUGCAAGACCUAUCAUUGCCGGGAGGAUGGUGUGAUUGAAGUGAGUGGCUGGAUCUUGAUGAGCAUGACUACAGGAUCUUUGGCAGCCAGUUCUCGGAGCUCGAGCGCGUAUCUAUUGAUCUUAGCCAGGGGCGUUCUCCAGAAAAGACAAGAUCUGGUCUUAUUAAGGGACGGUUGGGAGCUCUGA
rnacentral:rRNA from 1 species